rnacentral:rRNA from 3 species
UGUCUGGCGGCAGUAGCGCGGUGGUCCCACCUGACCCCAUGCCGAACUCAGAAGUGAAACGCCGUAGCGCCGAUGGUAGUGUGGGGUCUCCCCAUGCGAGAGUAGGGAACUGCCAGGCAU